rnacentral:lncRNA from 1 species
UAAAAUAUAAAGGACAAAAUUAUAAAUACAGAAUAAUAGUAAAGAUUUAUAAGAGAAAAAGAGGGGUGCUAAUAGGGUCACUAUAAGUCUAUAGGAAUGCGCUUAAGAGUCCGUUUCGAUGCACUGCCCCAAACCCACUUAAAAUACGAAAGAAGGAGCUGAUGAAGGAGAGAAGAAGAGUGAGGAAAAAGUGAAAAGGUGAGGAGGGGGCACUAAAAGGUUUUUGAAUGUAAGUUGCAUUUUUCUAUUACUUAUUUACAAAUUAAUUGUAAGAUCUUUUAGAAUCUAUUCUUAUGCUCGCUUAGCUCCCCUUGCACAGUGUCCAACACGGCCCAACGGAGACGAAACCGGUGAUGGAAGCUACUCCGACGGCGUUUGAUUGGGAGGCUCGUGCAAGAGAGAGUUUAGGUUUUUAGGGACUUUUUUUUUAAUUUUUCACUAUUUAUAUUUUUAUCUGAAUUGAGGGUAUUUUCGAAAUAAUAAAAAAUUUAUGGGGGUAGAAUGAGAAAUGUCGGGAAUGUGAGUCUAAUUCUCCAGUCCUCCCUUAGAAAUCAGAUUCCUAUUCUUGAUUCCCAAAUUAUUAUGGAGCCCACAAAAAUGAUUCACAUUCCUCUCUUUAUUUUACUAAGUAAACGCAGGUAUCAUUCCAAUUCUGGAUUUACAUUCCUGAAUUUGGUAAGUAAACAUAGUCUUAAUUAAAAAGUGUAAAUCUAACUCUCUCCUAAC